UUAUCCGAAUAAAUACGGAUAUAGAUAUCCGGUUUAUCCGGUUUGUUCAACUCCGGAUAAUUGACCUUCACUAUUGUCUAUAGUUCUAUACUAAUUUAUUCUACUCUUUCUUGUUAUACGCAUGAUUUAGGUCCCCAUUCCACUCUGAGCUCAAAUCCAUUAUUAGAUCAUAUAUUUAGUGUUUUAUCGUUUUACCGACCACCCCCAUAUGGCAUAUGCUUGCAUACAUUCAUUAGGUUACACAU